UCUGUCUCUCUCAAUCUCUCUCGGAGGCUGAAGAUGUGAUUGGGCCAGCUGGUGACCUGUUGCUGGCCUCAUGCUUCCACAUGAAGAUGCCAGGCUGCAAAACGGAGAAGAAGGAAGCCCAUGCAGAGAUGGCUUCUGAGUGAGAGCUUAGGAGCAGCUGCCCGGGUGCCCGUAGGCGGUCAGAUUUCUAGAUGCACUUCCUGUUCUUGGGUUCCGCAAGACACCCUCUGGCUCUUUUGCAUACAUUUUAAGCAACUACUUCUGAAGUUGGGAAAUCAGGAGUAGCCGCUGACUCUAAAGAGAAACUAUAUCAAUUUGGAAUGUAUUUGCAUUAUCAGUGAGUUUACUGGAAGUAUUAAAGCUGGACCAUCACUUGGAGAUGUUGUAAGGAAAUGUGAACAUUUGGCGAACAGACCUUUAAAUAAAGAAGGAAGCCAUGGGAGUGGCUGAGAUCUCCCUGAGAGAAAGUGGAGAGAUGUUCAGAGGUAACUUCGUUUAGAAACUUUUAUUUAAAAAUCACAUUUAGAAACUAGAAGGUGUGGGGGGACCCAGUAAAGGAGACAGAAAGGGAUUUACCAGAGAGUUGCGGGAGCUACGAUUGUGGUGUCAAAGAACCAAAGGGAGGAGCAAAUGCAAGAUCUCAACCAAUAAGGAAGUGUAAGCGACGAAGGGCAGGCCUUGGGGUGGGUCGACUCAGCAGCUCCACCAUUUUACUGAGAGCCCAGGUGCUUUCUACCUCUCUGCUCUGCUGUGCUUGGCGUUGGCUUCACCUGAGGGUUGAAGGUUCUUUCCUUGGAUGAGAGAUAACUGAACCACCCCUGUGGACCCAGGAACAGGGUCUGUGUCCCUUGAAGCACGUGACAGCAGAGGACGGGAGGCUCCACCUGAACAUGACCAGGGGUCUCCUGGGGAGGAAAAAUGGAGAUGGAAGCUGCAGAGGAAACGAACAGCUGCCCCCACACAUGCCGUACAAGGCCUGCAUGGGAUGAUGUACGUAGAGCUGCAUUUAAUGUAUACUAAAAAUCACUGGGCCGUGUUGCUAACUUCUGUUAGCAGAGAAUGCAGAAAGGCUGUGGGAGCCUUUCAUUGCCAGCUCUACGUGACCCUUCCCCUUAUGAUCAACACCAGACCAGGGAUUUAACUACAAGGCCCUGCCUUACCCAGCUCUUUUUGUCCCCACUUUGCAAAGUUCCUAAAAUGUACCAGAUUUCUUUCUUCUUCAUGGUCUUAUAUGCUGAUCCCUCUGCGGAAAACAGUCUCUGUAUUUGUUGCCUUUUCUUACGUAGGUUUCACUUCAUGUCAUUCCUUAAAGAGCACUUCCCUGUCCUCCUAAACUGAAUUAGGUGCCCCCUCCCUGGCUUGUGUCCCUAUUGGGAUCUAGUUCCAGAUUGUAAUUAUGUUUCUAUUAUGUUCAUGUGUAGCUCUGUGGUAUGGGGGCCACAUUUGUUCUGCUCACUAGUGAAUCCUCAGAGCCUGGCACAUGGCAAUGCUCAAGACAUUUGAUGAAUGAAUUAGCUAUUUCAUGCACUUCUUCGUCUAACUCUCAUGCCUAUUGUCUUUUUUAAGCAUGUGAGACAUCUUUGGAGGUUAUUGAAUGUAAAGAUUUCUACAAAACAGUACCCAUUCCAAAAGAUUAAUGAUGUUUAAUAAACCUAAAUAAUAAGGAAUGCUUGGAAAGCUCAUAAAGUAACAGCAAUGGAACAGGGAGAUUUUUUAAAUCAUAUUUAAGUAAUUUAUUGCUUUGCAUCAGUUACCCUUACACAGAUAAAGCCAAGACUAGAGCAAAUUGGUGAACUAGUUAGUUCAACACUGUCUUUGCCCCAGCCCCUAUCUCACUAGCUAAUUACAUUAGCAGACAUAUAUCAAAUGUUUCCUCUGUGCUGCCCAUUGUGCUGGACUGUGAGAUUUGGCCCUGAUUUCAGUCCGGAUUCUAGUAGGGCUUCCAGCACCUCCUUCUCCCUUUGGGGCUUCCCUCAAUUCCAUUCAACAAAUAUUUAUUGAACUCAUAGUUGGGUGAAAGAAAUGAUGAAUGAGUAAAUCCGUAGCAAUACUUCAUGUUACUACUCACGAUGAUGGCUGUGAGGUGUUAACAAUAUUUUGAAUCAUGCAAGUUUUCAUUAGGGCCAUUCUAUCUAUUAAGGCAAGAACUGAACAAAUACAUCUAAGAAUGGGUUUCUACUAGAAAGAUUGCAACAAAUAAGUUUUUCUGAUUAGCCCUCAGAUAAUUCAAUUAACUUCUAUUACCAGAACGUUCAAGUCUGCUUUGCUAGCCUAUGAGUUUCCAUACAGGAGGGGCUGAAGGGCUGGCAAUCUGUUAGGAAGGCAAGCUGGAGUUUUGUCUUGAAGUCAUGUUUACACAGCAAGUAUGCUGUUUCUGCUUGGAUUCCAUGGCUAUUUGGCAUAGCUAAAGGUGGCUAUUGGAAAUCAUGGGGAAAUUAAAUCUUUGCCCCCUCUCAAUCAUUUAUUGGCGCUACCACUGAUCCUAGCUAACUGAAGCAUAAUUACAUUUUGUUUGUUUGUCAGACUUUCAGACUGCUCAGGCUUCAAAAUCCACAAGAUUUCAAAAAGAAAAUUUCAAAGGGAGAAAGAAGCCAUAGUCUGCUCUGAUAACUUGUUUAUCAAUUUAUUUUUCAAUUUCCCUGUCCUCUUCUCUCAGAGGGAAACAUGAGUGAGAACCUGACUCGCAACCCCUAUGAGAUAGAGAAUAUUUGCCUUUUUUUUUGGUUGAUUGCUGGGCUUGAAAAGAAAAAAAAAGACAGAAAAUAAAAAAGGUUAGAAGUCGGGCAUGAUGGCUUACGCCUAUAAUCCUAACACUUUGGGAGGCCAAGGCAGGCAGAUCACUUGAGCCCAGGAGUUCAAGACCAGUCUGGGUAACAUGGCGAAACUUCGUCUCUACAAAAAAUACAAAAAUUAACCAAGUGCAGUGGUGCAUGCCUGUAGUCCCAGCUACUUGGGAGGCUAAGGCAGGAGGAUCGCUUGAGCCUAGGAUAUUGAGGCCUCAGUGAGCCGUAAUUGAGCCACUGCACUCCAGCCUGGGUGACAGAGCAAGACCCUGUCUCAAAAAAAAAAAAAAAAGAAAAGCCAAGUUAAAAAUCUGUAAACUGAUAAUAUGGAAACAUGUUUACCUACUUUACAGGAAUGUCAUAUCAUCAAAACCAGAGGAAUUUUCUGUGCAAAUACAAAGGAAGUAAUUUAAUAGUUUCCAAAUGGUCUUUCUUGUUUUCUUAUCACCCAUCCACUCCUUGCACAUUUUUGAAAAAAAUUGUCUAGUUUGUAUUUACCCUUCUCACUUAUGCUGCAUAAACACAUUUUGCUCAAGGAAGGCAAACCUAGACAGGUCUGGUUUAAUUCCACAAUCAGAUAUUAAUAUAGUGUUUUGAAGAUAAUUGCUUUAUGACCUCAGAAUGAAUCAGUUCUCAGGGCAAGGAGACAUUUAAUGCAGCAGGCAGCACGCUUGCCAUGCCCCAUAUGUGGUGUGCUUGUAGUGCAGUGGGGCUCAGCUUCACGGGCACACCACGUGUGUACCAUACCCACAAACUGGAUUAGCAAGAAUGUGUAAACUUGGACUUCAUUCCCUCUCUUCCCUAGAUUCUGCUCAGGAAGCUAGAUUUUGUGAUUAGGCAAUCCUAUUGGGUGAAAGCUCACAAUAGUACUGAUAUUCCUAACAAUAGCUACCAUUUAUUGUACAUCUAUUACAGGCCAGGCUAAAUGCUGGGCUCAGUGCUUUGUGUCCUCAUCUUUGGAGCCCUCAUAACACCAAUACCAGGUGUAUUUUAUUAUCUCCUCAUUUUCUCAUAUUGCAGAUGAGGACACUGAGCUGAGAGCAGUUGAGUCACUUGCCCAAGGUCAUAUUGCUGGGAUUUAAACCACAGUGUGCCUGGCUCAGAGGGAAUUUUCUGAGAAAGGAAUGAGCUGAGGUUUCAGGAUCCUUCACUUACAUGGCCCUUUGCAAGGCCCUGUGCCUAAUUUUGUGUUUGCAAUUUUUAAAAUUCUUUUUCUUGAAGAGGCCCCCUAAACCGUGUUAGCCGAAGUCUCCAUAAAACCUGAAUCCAGCUUUGGCUUCCCUUCAGAGCUUUCAUUCUUAAUCUCCAAAUUGUAGUUUCUAACCAAGCAUAAUAACAUUAAUGUCAAGGACUGACAUAUCACAUACUAAGUGAUCUGUUCAUAGUAGGUGCUCAAUAAAGGUUGAAUGAAAAAGCACACAUGACUGAAUAAAUGUCCUACUCAAAAACCAUAAUGUGGAUCAACUCCAUGUAUGUUGAAAACCAAGGGGUAGAUUAAAAUGAUGUGAGCCAUUGAAAGAAAUUGGCUCUUUCCUGACACGGGGCAUGGAGCAGCAGCUAAGUUUUUGCCAGGGUAAAAGAGCAGACAGUGUAGAUUUUUCUCUGUAUCCCUUUGCCAUUAAUAAGUCCUGGAGAAUACCACAUUGAUGAAUUUGCAGUGACUUCCUCUUUGCAGUCACUUCCAUAAGCGACACCUCAUUUCACUUAGCUUAUCCAAUUAACAAAAGGAGAAAACAAAUUAAAAGAAAGUCCCUGAGGUAGUCGAGACUCAGUGUGCUUAAGUGGAUAAACAACAUAAUUGGAAUUGCCUACCCUUAUGAAAGCACCAUAGUUGGGGCUGGUUUUGAACAAGUAGUUCUAGUUUGGCAAGAGUUUGUUAGUGUCAUUUCACAGGAAAGGCUAGGAGGAAAUGUAUUUAAAAUGCAACAAGAGAAUUCUUGGUUAGAAACGCAGAUGGUACAGAUUGAUAGAUAUUUGAAGUAGCUAUUGAAAGAAGUUGGUGAGAGUAUGUUCCUCAUCUACCAAAAAUGUUAUCUUGCCUUCAGGCAAGGACCCUGGGGAGUUCUCUAAGACCCUUCAAGCCUAAAAGUUCCAGUGUACUCACGGGAUGAGAAAUCACUUGGUAGUACAUAAAUCAAAGCAAAAGAUGCCUGCUCUUCUCUGUAACAGCGGAACAGUUGGCAAAAUCCCAAAUUGUUUAUCAGAUAUUGGGGCCGCUCACAGUUUAGUUUCAGGAAUUUAUUGUCUAGGUAAGUGGUAUCAGGACUUCAAAGUGGUGUCUCUCUACACAAAUUAAUCAACAAAUUUAAUGGGCCUGGCAUCGUAGCUCACACCUGUAAUCUCAGCACUUUGGGAGGCCGAGGUGGGCAGAUAGCUUGAGCCCAGAAGUUUGAGACCAGCCUGGCCAACAUGUGAAACCCUGUCUCUACUAAAAAUACAAAAAAUUACCCGGGCAUGGGGGCACACGCCCGUAAUCUCAGCUACCCAGAAGGCUGAGGUGGGAGGAUCACCUGGGCCCAGGAGGUUGAGGCUGCAGCGAACAGUGAUUGCACCACUGCACUCCAGCCUGGGUGACAAAGUGAGACCCUGUCUCAGGAAAAAAAAAAAAAAAAUUAAUGCAACUUCAGUUAAUAUCCUCAUGAGAUAAAAAGAAGAAGGAGAAGAGGAAGAACAAGAAGAAUAAAAAGGUAAUGGACAAUCAUUUCUCUCUCCAUGUAUUAAUGUAACUCAUAAAUAUUCACAUAUAUGUGGUAAUUAAAAGUGUGACCCUGCAAACCCACUCCUAGAUAUUUAUUCCAGUGAAAUGAUCAUCUAUAUUCACACAAAAACCAAACAUUUAUAGCAGCUUUAUUCUUAACAUCCAAAAGCUGGAAACAACUCAAAUGUCCCUCGGUUGGGAAACGAAUAAACUGGUAGGUGUGGUAUGUGUGUGUGGCAUGUGUGGUAUGUGUGUGUGGUGUGUGUGGUAUGUCCACACCAGGGAAUAAUACUCAGCAAUAAAAAGGAAGAUACUAUUGAUACAUGCAGCAACACGGAUGCAUCUUAGGGUAUUAUGCUGAGUGAAAGAAGACAGAUUCAAAAGGCUGUAUACUGUAUGAUUCCAUUUCUAUAACAUUCUGGAAAAGGUAAAACAAUAGGGAUGGAAAACAGAUCAGUGGUUUCCAGGGGUUAACAGAGUGGGGAGGUUUGAGGGUGAACCCUUCGAAAGGAUAGCAUGAAGGAAUUUGGGAAGGUAAUGGAACUGCUGCCGUGCCUACACAACUCUGUGCAUUUGGCAAAACUCAGAACUGUAUACCCCGAAGAGCGAACUUUACUGUAUGUAAACUAAAAAAUAAAAUAAACCUGUAUUACACUAGUACAGGUUUAAACAGGUCAAUGGAACAUCACAGAGAGCUACAAAUGAAAUCCAAUAUAGUUAAUUUGUUUUGCUAAAGAUGGCAUUUUUAAAUCCAUGGAGAAAAUACACAGUGCUGGGAAAACUGGUUCUUAUCAUUAAAAAAA
rnacentral:lncRNA from 10 species